UACGUAGGGCGCAAGCGUUAUCCGGAAUUAUUGGGCGUAAAGAGCUCGUAGGCGGUUUGUCGCGUCUGCCGUGAAAGUCCGGGGCUCAACUCCGGAUCUGCGGUGGGUACGGGCAGACUAGAGUGAUGUAGGGGAGACUGGAAUUCCUGGUGUAGCGGUGAAAUGCGCAGAUAUCAGGAGGAACACCGAUGGCGAAGGCAGGUCUCUGGGCCGAUACUGACGCUGAGGAGCGAAGCGUGGGGAGCGAACAGG
rnacentral:rRNA from 1 species